rnacentral:rRNA from 1 species
ACUAGGCAAUGUGGUGUUCAGGUCGUUCCGCAGAGGUACUGCUCCACCCUAAGUCCAACAAUGAGUACGGUAGUACGGACAUGGCCCACAGAGGGUGAAAGGCCCGUGGGGGUGGAGAUCAGGCAGGCCAGUGUCUCUCUGGGUAGACCUUGGAGUCGGGGUUGUUUGUGAAUGCAGCCCAAAGCGGGUGGUAAACUCCAUCCAAGGCUAAAUACAAGCGCGAGUCCGAUAGCGAACAAGUACCGUGAGGGAAAGUUGAAAAGUACUUUGAAGAGAGAGUAAACAGUGCGUGAAACCGCUCAGAGGUAAACGGGUGGAGUUGAACUGCAAGCUCUGGGGAUUCAGCUGGUGAGUGUGAGUUGGGCUUGGUCAAAUUGGUUGGACUUCGGGGUCUGCGUAGCAGCAGGUCUCUGCCCUCGGGUGGGGAUGCGCGAUGCACUUAUCAAGUGUUGUGCGCUUCGGAUGUUCUUCGGGCCAACUUGCCAGUGCACUUUCUCAGAGUGGUCACCACGACCGGCACUGCUGUCUGGCUGUUGCGGUUAAACCGGACUUGCAUUGGCCUCGUGUCUUUGCUUGGUCGGGAUGGCAGGUAUCUCGUUGGCUUGUCUGUGGCUUGCUACAGGCGUCGGCCUUCGGGUGUAAUCAGCUGACUGUAAUGGUUCUGUGCAGUGUGUCGGAGACGGCGGCUUGUGGUGUGUGCAUGCGUGCCUGGUUGCUGGCGCGUCCGGGUUUGGUUGCUAUGUUGCUUGUUCAAGCAAGCCUGGUGAUGGCUCGGAUUCGUUCGGUGGUCAGUUGCGUGUGUGGCACUAUUUCCAGGGCCAAUAGUCUGUGGUGUAGUGGUAGACUUUCCACCUGACCCGUCUUGAAACACGGACCAAGGAGAGUAACAUGUGCGCGAGUCAUUGGGCGUAACGAAACCCACAGGCGCAGUGAAAGUAAAGGUUUGGCUUGUCCAGACUGAGGUGAGAUCCUGCUGUGUCUCACGCGCGGUACUACCAAGCAUCGAGCAGCGGGCGCAUCACCGGCCCGUCCCA